rnacentral:lncRNA from 1 species
CCUAACAUGCUUGUAAAAGCAUAGAUUUCUUUCUUUUUUUUUUUAAGCAUAGAUUUCUGGGACCAUCCCUGCAAAUAUACUGAAUCAGAGUCUCUAUUGCAAAGUUGGAAACUCCAUUUUGACAAAUAUUCCAGAUGAUCAUUAGGAUUUCUAAAAUUUGAGAACUACCAGACUCUGUUGAAGUUAAAUAUUGAAUCUGACAUCUUAAAGAUGGAACUUCCUGCAUGAAUGCUAACUGUGCAUGGGGUGUUGGAGAAGCAUUACUCCUGAAAAAAAACCCAGUUUUCCACACACAAUUGUUCAUCUGGUCCUGUUUGCCUGGCCCGUCUGAGUCUGUUUCUUCGUCAGAGAAGGAUUAUCAGUCCUAUGUUAUGGUCCUGCCAUGAGAACACAGUGUACUAGAAAC